AUUGAACGCUGGCGGCAGGCCUAACACAUGCAAGUCGAGCGGUAGCACAGAGAGCUUGCUCUCGGGUGACGAGCGGCGGACGGGUGAGUAAUGUCUGGGAAACUGCCUGAUGGAGGGGGAUAACUACUGGAAACGGUAGCUAAUACCGCAUAACGUCGCAAGACCAAAGUGGGGGACCUUCGGGCCUCAUGCCAUCAGAUGUGCCCAGAUGGGAUUAGCUAGUAGGUGGGGUAACGGCUCACCUAGGCGACGAUCCCUAGCUGGUCUGAGAGGAUGACCAGCCACACUGGAACUGAGACACGGUCCAGACUCCUACGGGAGGCAGCAGUGGGGAAUAUUGCACAAUGGGCGCAAGCCUGAUGCAGCCAUGCCGCGUGUGUGAAGAAGGCCUUCGGGUUGUAAAGCACUUUCAGCGGGGAGGAAGGCGAUAAGGUUAAUAACCUUGUCGAUUGACGUUACCCGCAGAAGAAGCACCGGCUAACUCCGUGCCAGCAGCCGCGGUAAUACGGAGGGUGCAAGCGUUAAUCGGAAUUACUGGGCGUAAAGCGCACGCAGGCGGUCUGUCAAGUCGGAUGUGAAAUCCCCGGGCUCAACCUGGGAACUGCAUUCGAAACUGGCAGGCUAGAGUCUUGUAGAGGGGGGUAGAAUUCCAGGUGUAGCGGUGAAAUGCGUAGAGAUCUGGAGGAAUACCGGUGGCGAAGGCGGCCCCCUGGACAAAGACUGACGCUCAGGUGCGAAAGCGUGGGGAGCAAACAGGAUUAGAUACCCUGGUAGUCCACGCCGUAAACGAUGUCGAUUUGGAGGUUGUGCCCUUGAGGCGUGGCUUCCGGAGCUAACGCGUUAAAUCGACCGCCUGGGGAGUACGGCCGCAAGGUUAAAACUCAAAUGAAUUGACGGGGGCCCGCACAAGCGGUGGAGCAUGUGGUUUAAUUCGAUGCAACGCGAAGAACCUUACCUGGUCUUGACAUCCACAGAACUUUCCAGAGAUGGAUUGGUGCCUUCGGGAACUGUGAGACAGGUGCUGCAUGGCUGUCGUCAGCUCGUGUUGUGAAAUGUUGGGUUAAGUCCCGCAACGAGCGCAACCCUUAUCCUUUGUUGCCAGCGGUCCGGCCGGGAACUCAAAGGAGACUGCCAGUGAUAAACUGGAGGAAGGUGGGGAUGACGUCAAGUCAUCAUGGCCCUUACGACCAGGGCUACACACGUGCUACAAUGGCAUAUACAAAGAGAAGCGACCUCGCGAGAGCAAGCGGACCUCAUAAAGUAUGUCGUAGUCCGGAUUGGAGUCUGCAACUCGACUCCAUGAAGUCGGAAUCGCUAGUAAUCGUAGAUCAGAAUGCUACGGUGAAUACGUUCCCGGGCCU
rnacentral:rRNA from 1 species